CCAACAGCUUUUGGUUGGAUCUUCCCAUCCAUGUCUCGGCCUCGCCCCUCUACGGCCAUCACAGCCGCAUAAAAUUCCGUCAAUUCAUAUUCGGGCCCGCGUCAGUUCCGACUGGGGCUAUUAUAGGCUACACAACACCUCGAUGCCUCACCUACAAUAAGAAAAUAAAGCCCCCAUGUAUGCCUAAAGCAAGGGCGAUGCCCAUGCUCCAUUUUUGAAUUUUUCCGAAAAUGGGCCCCGGUGGGCCCACCGUGUCCCGGGAAAUUUUCCGACAUCCGGGACGGGGCGGAGGGGGCUGGGGUGUUUGCGGGCCAAUUCCGUGGAUACCGAUGCCUAUCUUGCAGCCCAGACAUGCCCCCGUGCCCAGGCUCCCCAGCCCCCCCAGGGGGGUGAGGCAUACUGCACCCC
rnacentral:lncRNA from 1 species